rnacentral:rRNA from 1 species
UACGUAGGGGGCAAGCGUUGUCCGGAUUUAUUGGGCGUAAAGAGCGUGUAGGCGGCCGUACAGGUCAGCUGUGAAAACUCGAGGCUCAACCUCGAGACGUCGGUUGAAACCGUACGGCUAGAGUCCGGAAGAGGAGAGUGGAAUUCCCGGUGUAGCGGUGAAAUGCGCAGAUAUCGGGAAGAACACCCGUGGCGAAGGCGGCUCUCUGGGACGGUACUGACGCUGAG